rnacentral:rRNA from 1 species
CCUCGGGAGGCAGCAGUGAGGAAUAUUGGACAAUGGGGGCAACCCUGUAUCCAGCCAUGCCGCGUGCAGGAAGACUGCCCUAUGGGUUGUAAACUGCUUUUAUACAGGAAGAAACUGCGCUACGUGUAGCGUACUGACGGUACUGUAAGAAUAAGGAUCGGCUAACUCCGUGCCAGCAGCCGCGGUAAUACGGAGGAUCCAAGCGUUAUCCGGAAUCAUUGGGUUUAAAGGGUCCGUAGGUGGUCUAUUAAGUCAGAGGUGAAAGCCUAUCGCUCAACGAUAGAACUGCCUUUGAUACUGAUGGACUUGAGUUAUUGUGAAGUAGUUAGAAUAUGUAGUGUAGCGGUGAAAUGCAUAGAUAUUACAUAGAAUACCGAUUGCGAAGGCAGAUUACUAACAAUAUACUGACACUGAGGGACGAAAGCGUGGGUAGCGAACAGGAUUAGAUACCCUGGUAGUCCACGCCGUAAACGAUGGUCACUAGCUGUUUGACUAACAUUG